rnacentral:rRNA from 1 species
UACGGGGGGAGCAAGCGUUGUUCGGAUUUACUGGGCGUAAAGGGCGCGUAGGCGGCCACCGCAAGUCGGUUGUGAAAUCUCCGGGCUUAACCCGGAAAGGUCAAUCGAUACUGCGGGGCUAGAGUGCAGAAGGGGCAACUGGAAUUCUCGGUGUAGCGGUGAAAUGCGUAGAUAUCGAGAGGAACACCUGCGGCGAAGGCGGGUUACUGGGCUGACACUGACGCUGAAGCGCGAAAGCUAGGGGAGCGAACGGG